UGUGUAUUGGAUUUGCAAGACAAAAGAUGAUGAAUUAAAUAAUUAAUUAAUCAGUUUCAAGUCCAAAGAUCGAAAAGCACCAUUUAGGUCAAGGUCAACUCCAAAUAUUGGUUAAAAUCUAAUUUGUACCAACAACAAUCCAGAAGAGGGCAGUCUUAAUAGGACACCCAUAAAAGAGCUAAACAGAGCUCUGUAAUAAACGACACCUUUACCAGCUGAAGAAUCACCGCUCAUCUGUUGAGAGUAUUUUUUUGUUUGGCCUACAUAGAUGUUGAUGUUUAAAGAAAGAGAUCUUCACUGAAUUAUUUUUACAUAGAAAUUAAUCUUCUCAGCUUAAGCUGUAAGCUCAAGAGAGCUUUUCUGAUUAUCCAUCGUGCAGCAUCUGUUUGUCUCUAAACUGUAAUCAUUUCAGAUUUCUUCCUGAGAACCACUGGUUCCCCCUUCGAAGAGAUUAUCAAGUAGGGCAAAAAUGGGGUGGGGGAGAGGUUAUUUAAAAAUCUUCUUCUCAAGAACCUCUUGGCCAAAAAGAUGAAAGGUUUAUGACAAAGGAUAGUGUGAAUUCUAAAAUUUUCAAAUCGUGGCGACCAUGGAUUGCAUAGGUCCACAGAUUGGGAUUUAACUUUAACAUGAAAUAUAUAGGAAUUCAAAUUUUUUUUUUGAUGUAGCAUAGAUUUUGAAUUUAUCAUUAAAUCAAAGCACAAGUUUUACAUAUGAAUUGAUUAGUCGAGCAUCCUCAGGGUAGUGCAAAAUUAACUUCAUUUGAAUCAUGGAAUCGUAAUGGGGGAUCCAAGUUUCGCUGGGGAAUAAAGAAAAAAUUAACAAUCUUUUUUUCAGGAACAGUAGGACCAAGACUAAUUAUGAUGCAUUUGGCCAAGUGUAAAAACUAUACAGGAAGAAAUUGUUAUCAUAAAAAUGAAGAAAUAUUUUUUUUUAUUUUAGAUAUUCUGAAGAAAACAGGUCCAAAAUAACUCAGGUGAGCUAUGUGGCACAUAUUCCUUCGUUUAUUAUAUAUGUGCAAAGAGUAUUGUUUUGUCUCCCAGGCAAAUACUAUGUAGUAUGAAAAACUUUUAUUCUUGCAUUUUAGUAUUGUUUUUAAUCUUCAAAGGUCCU